UAAACAGCUUGGAAUAUUUACAG
rnacentral:miRNA from 1 species